rnacentral:rRNA from 1 species
UACAGAGGGGGCAAGCGUUAUUCGGAAUUAUUGGGCGUAAAGGGCGCGUAGGCGGCUUGGCAAGUGGAUGGUGAAAUCCCUCGGCUUAACCGAGGAACUGCCGUCCAAACUGCUUUGCUUGAGACCGGGAGAGGUGAGUGGAAUUCCCAGUGUAGCGGUGAAAUGCGUAGAUAUUGGGAGGAACACCAGUGGCGAAGGCGGCUCACUGGACCUCUGCUGACGCUGAGGCGCGAAAGCGUGGGGAGCGAUCCGG